CGCCUGUAGAAGGAGACGGAGCGAGCCAAUCCGAGGUGGCGGGGAGGGACCGAGUCGGGAGCGCGGAGCUGUCAUCCGCGUUCACUGUCAGGUAAACUGAGGCUCGGCUGCCAGCUGGCCAAGGUCACACCUGGACUACUUGAAUUUAAUUCACAGCUCACGAGGGAUCUGGGAAAGAAACUGGGCUAUGAUUUGAAGCAGAGAACAAACCGACAGUCACUCCCGACAAACCUGCCUUUGCCUGUAUUUUGGAUCUCACUGUAUAACCCUCAUACUUGGGGCAAUCCUGUCUCAGCCUCCCGACUGCUGAAAUUACAGGAGCCCAGAAGUGUCCCGGACCUAUGGUCUGCUUUCUCCUGACUGCAUCAAGAUGAAGCCGCAACUGGUGUGGUAGCCUGUGUCUUUAAACCCAAUACUUGUGAGGCAGAAGCAGGAGGAUACGAGUUCAAAACCAUACAGCAAAGUUGAGGCUAGGCUGUGCUAAAUAAAACUUUGUCUGGCCAACGUUCCCCCAACACGCACACACACACUCCCGCAGCCAUAGCCGAGAGGUCGGAAAGCCGGUGUGGGGCUGAAAGGCGGACUGCUCCAGCGGCAGGCUGUAGACCUCUGUUCAGACAAGGGUACCACCUAGAGAACCCUCCACUUAGUUUCCGUUUCGCAACAGAAUGGCCAAACAGCACUAAAAGCAAACUGCAAUCUGGCGCAGGAAAACAAGCGUGGCACCCUGGCUGCUAACCCUGGGGAAAGGCAGGUCUGCCUGGAGCCCUUCACUGCACUCCUUACAAACGCCACGUGAGCACCCCAGAGGGCAGGCCAAAGGGUCCUGAAGGGAAGGGGAGGAUUCAGUGGUGCAGCGGGCAUUGCUCUGUUUGGUGCUGCGUACGUGCUAAACUACUCUGCGUGAGGACUCAGCCUACAUUCGUAUUUUUAGCUGGGUCCAAGGGUUUUUGCGUGUGUCCUACAGCUCCGAGUUUGAACAGAGUUUUGGGUCUUGCAAAAGCGCCCCUCGGUGGUGGGCGCCUGUCAGAGUGGCUAAAGUUGCUGCGGUCACACCUGACUCCAAGCCGGGGGUAUUCUCUCAGAAGACCUGGACCCCUCCUGACGAAUCAUCAGUUGGCCUUGUGAACAUUUUGCCUUGACCCUGGAGGACAAACGACCCGAUUGAGUCGUCUGACUCGGGAUUCGAACCCGAGUUCACGGGAGCCCCCACAGGCUGCUGUCCAGCGCCGGCCUCCAGAUGGCACCCGUGCUCUCCACAGCACCCAAGCGUUUGCCUCUCUGGCACACUGGGUAUAUAACUGGCCGCCGCCUCUAGGUGUCUCAGGAGCACUGCUCUGCUUUCCAGCAUGUUCCGUAACCUGCCACUACCGUGACUCAGCUAAACUCAGGGAGCGGCUGUCCCAGAGUCCACACCCACACCACAGGCAGGCCUAAUGUGGCACCACUAUCACCUGCAGCUGGAGAGGCACUGGUGGCCCAGAAGCCCCAGGCUGAAGUAAUCAGCACACCUUUCUGUGAAUAAUAGCCCUCCAGCUCUGCGCCGUCAACAGGGCGCAGUGUGGUCGGAGUAGAGGACUAAUGCCAAUGACAGGGUAUGUCUGGAAAGUAAUAGUUCGGGAGGUGAUGGGUGAUUAGACACUUAAGAGUGAACUAUACACUUAAGACUGCUAACAGUAGAGCUGGAGACGGCUCCGUGGUUAAGAGCACUGGCUGCUCUUCCAGAGGACCCUGGUUCAAUUCCCAGAACCCAAAUGGCAGCUAACAGCCAUCUGUAACUUCAGUUCCUGGGCGGGGGCGGGAUCCAAUACCUUCCAAGGCACCGCAGUACCUGAAUGAUGCACAGGCAUGAAUGCAAGCAAAACACCUAUGUAUGCAAAA